AACCUCCGCAAUGUGAGAAAUCGCGACGGGGGGAUCCCAAGUGCCAUUCUUAACGGGAUGGCUUUUCAUUAGUGUAAAGAGCUUUUGGAAUAAGGGCUGGGCAAGACCGGUGCCAGCCGCCGCGGUAACACCGGCAGCUCUAGUGGUAGCAGUUUUUAUUGGGCCUAAAGCGUCCGUAGCCGGUUUAAUAAGUCUCUGGUGAAAUCCUGUAGCUUAACUGUGGGAAUUGCUGGAGAUACUAUUAGACUUGAGAUCGGGAGAGGUUAGAGGUACUCCCAGGGUAGAGGUGAAAUUCUGUAAUCCUGGGAGGACCGCCUGUUGCGAAGGCGUCUAACUGGAACGAUUCUGACGGUGAGGGACGAAAGUUAGGGGCGCGAACCGGAUUAGAUACCCGGGUAGUCCUAACUGUAAACGAUGCGGACUUGGUGUUGGGGUGGCUUUGAGCUGCUCCAGUGCCGAAGGGAAGCUGUUAAGUCCGCCGCCUGGGAAGUACGGUCGCAAGACUGAAACUUAAAGGAAUU
rnacentral:rRNA from 1 species